GCUGCAGUGAGGGGUGGGGCCGCCCUCGCUCUUGUUAAGGCCUAACCACCCGUGAUGGCUGCUGAUCUCGGUUGUCACCUUGACCACAUCUGGAAUCAACAAAAACCCAAGCAGCUGGACACACCUGUGAGGGAUUUCCUUGAUCAGAUCAUUUGGUGUAGAAAGACCCACCCUAAACCUGGGCCAUACCUUCUGGUGGUAACCCACGUAAAAGGACCGGGAAGGUUUUGCUUUUCGCCUGCUGGCCCUCCCUCUCUGGCAAGUUCAUCCAUCCCGCUGCUGAGGUGUUCCUUUCCUUGUAGCAGCUCUUACUUCCUCAGGACUCCAUCACAGACCGAAGACCAGCAGCUCGCUAGGAUCCGGCACACCAGUGGGACCACUGAGACAUCCAGUCUCAUGGACUGAGUAACUACAGUGUUCUUGGCCAUUCUGCAAGAGACAGUCAUUGUUGGACUACCCGGACACAGCCUGUCUGCACAUGUGAUUGCUGGUGCCAGAGAGCCUCUAAGAUCCCCCGGAGCUGGAGUUUGUGAGCCUCCUGACCUGGGUGCUGAGAACAGAACGCGGGUCCUCUGCAAGAGCAGAAUGCGCUCUGAGCCCUCCCGCCAGCCCCAGCUGGUGACAUUCCUAUUCGUUAGAAUUUGGGUGUGUUCUUACCUUUCGGCCAUGGGACGAGACAUCCCAACGAGUGGAGAUGUCUUCUAGACGCAGAUAGAAAGUCCCCAUGAACACAUAUGUCCUGUUGGUUUUAGAUUACUGUGUUUGCUCUUCCUUUAAGUCCUCAGCUCAAAACAUACUGACACCAAAAAAAAAAAAAAAAAAAAAAGCAUAUUAUGGGGUGUUGCUAUAUUUUGUUUUGUUUUGUUUUUCUA